AUUGAACGCUGGCGGCAGGCCUAACACAUGCAAGUCGAACGAGUGGCGGACGGGUGAGUAAUGUCUGGGAAACUGCCCGAUGGAGGGGGAUAACUACUGGAAACGGUAGCUAAUACCGCGUACACUCGGAUGUGCCCAGAUGGGAUUAGCUAGGAGGUGAGGUAACGGCUCACCUAGGCGACGAUCCCUAGCUGGUCUGAGAGGAUGACCAGCCACACUGGAACUGAGACACGGUCCAGACUCCUACGGGAGGCAGCAGUGGGGAAUAUUGCACAAUGGGCGCAAGCCGUAUGCAGCCAUGCCGCGUGGAUGAAGAAGGCCUUCGGGUUGUAAAGUACUUUCAGCGGGGAGGCGUUACCCGCAGAAGAAGCACCGGCUAACUCCGUGCCAGCCGCCGGGGUAAUAC
rnacentral:rRNA from 1 species